rnacentral:rRNA from 1 species
UACGGGGGGGGCAAGCGUUGUUCGGAAUUACUGGGCGUAAAGGGCUCGUAGGCGGCCAACUAAGUCAGACGUGAAAUCCCUCGGCUCAACCGGGGAACUGCGUCUGAUACUGGGUGGCUUGAAUCCGGGAGAGGGAUGCAGAAUUCCAGGUGUAGCGGUGAAAUGCGUAGAUAUCUGGAGGAAUACCGGUGGCGAAGGCGGCAUCCUGGACCGACAUUGACGCUGAGGAGCGAAAGCUAGGGGAGCAAACGGG